AGUGAGUUUGAUCCUGGCUCAGGGUGAACGCUAUCAGCAUACAUUACACAUGCGAGUCGAACGAUAAAAGUGGCGAACGGGUGAGUAAAGCGUGAGAAUCUAGACCUUUAAAAUCUGAAGCGUGCCUUAAGUGGGUAAGCAGCUUAGGCAAGUAAGAGUCUAAAAGUAAUUAAUUAUUACAUUAAUUAGAAUUAGGAUGACUACGAAAGGAUUAAGCAGCAUAUACGUGAAUAGAGAAAGGUAGUAAAUUAUCGUAAAGGGAUGAGCUCACGUAAGAUUAGGUAGUUGGUAAGGUAAAAGCUUACCAAGCCGAUGAUCUUUAGCUGGUCUGAGAGGACGUCCAGCCACACUGGAACUGAGACAAGGUCCAGGCUUUGACAAAAGCCAGCAGUGAGGAAUAUUGGACAAUGAGCGAAAGCUUGAUCUAGUAAUGCUGUAUGGGUGAAGAAGGGGUUAUAAUAAGCUCUGUAGUAGAUAGAGUGGCCUGUAAAACUCGAUUAACGAUGAAGAAAAUGACAAUAAUUGUUAACUGAGCCCCGGCUAAUCCUCGUGCCAGCAGCCGCGGUAAUACGAGAGGGGCAAGCGUUAUCCGUAAUGAUUGGGCGUAAAGGGUCCGUAGACGGCUAAGAGGUAGUUGUGAAUCAAAUCCUAGGGGCAAGCCGUAGAAAGGUUCUCAAGACACAUUAGCUAGAGUAUAGCAGAGGUGAGUAUAAUUCCAGGUGGAGGGGUAAAAUCCGUAGAUAUGUGGAGGAAUGCCAAAGGCGAAAGCGACUAACUGGGCUAUGACUGACGUUGAGGGACGAAGGCUUGGGGAGCAAACAGGAUUAGAGACCCUGGUAGUCCAAGCAGUCAAAGAUGAGUGCUCGUAUGUCGUGAAGAAUGGUAUACUUAGCUAACGCGAUAAGCACUCCGCCUGAGGAGUACGAUCGCAAGAUUGGAACUCAAAGGAAUUGACGGGGAUCUACACAAGUGGUGGAGCAUGUGGUUUAAUGCGAUAAUACGCGCAAAACCUUACCAAUCCUUGACAUCUGUAGUUUUCCUGUGAGAGCAGGAUGUAAAGCAAAAGAGAAAAGUGCUCUAAGAAUAGCUUACUGCAGGACAGGUGUUGCAUGGCUGUCGUCAGUCCGUGUUGUGAAAUGUUAGGUUAAUUCCUUAUUAACGGGCGAAACUCUUAUCUAAUGUUGGUACUUAUGUUGAAGAUCAAGAUAAGCCACUCGUUAGAGACUGCUGCUAAUGAAAAGGCGGAGGAAGGUGAGAACGAAGUCAAGCCAUCAUGGCCCUUAUGGAUUGGGCUACACACGUGCUACAAUGGAGCAUACAAAAAGCAGCGAUAGCGUGAGCUGGAGCAAACCUUUAAAAGGCUUCGUGUUCGGAUUACAGGCUGCAACUCGCCUGUAUGAAGUUGGAAUCACAAGUAAUCGUGAAUCAGCACGUCACGGUGAAUUUGUAAAUGGAUCUUGUACACACCGCCCGUCACAUGCUGGGAGUGCGCUUUGUUUUAAGAAUUUCUUGUCUUUAUCAUUUAUUAGGGUCUUGCUAUAGCUAAUCUUAACAAAUAAUAAGGCGCAAGGCUUCCAUUCUGAGGUGCACGACUGGGAUGAAGUCGUAACAAGGUAGUCGUACGGGAACGUGCGG
rnacentral:rRNA from 1 species